rnacentral:rRNA from 1 species
GUAGUCCACGCCGUAAACGAUGUCUACUAGUCGUUGGGUCCCUUGAGGACUUAGUGACGCAGCUAACGCAAUAAGUAGACCGCCUGGGGAGUACGGCCGCAAGGUUAAAACUCAAAUGAAUUGACGGGGGCCCGCACAAGCGGUGGAGCAUGUGGUUUAAUUCGAUGCAACGCGAAGAACCUUACCUGGUCUUGACAUAUCUAGAAUCCUGCAGAGAUGCGGGAGUGCCUUCGGGAAUUAGAAUACAGGUGCUGCAUGGCUGUCGUCAGCUCGUGUCGUGAGAUGUUGGGUUAAGUCCCGCAACGAGCGCAACCCUUGUCCUUAGUUACCAGCGGGUUAAGCCGGGAACUCUAAGGAUACUGCCAGUGACAAACUGGA